UAUCAUUUAAAUUUAUAAUUUAUUUUUAUAAGCAAAUACCUAGUUUUGAAAACAAACAUUUAACAUUAAUUUGAACUCUAAUAACUUAUUAUUAUUUCGAAGUAUAACUAUAUAAGAUUGAAAGUUACAAUGAUUUAAUUUUAGUUGAAACCUGCGAUAUAAUUUUGUUGGAGCACAUUGGAGAUGGCAUCAUUGAGUUCGUCUAUUUCGCAACUUUGCUCGUUUGUCGAGGAUCUCCACCAUUCGUCGUUGUUCAUGUUUGGCCUUAGUCGUGAUAACGUCGAGCCAGAAUCCGUUGAAUUACCACCACCAACAACCCUGAGUGGAACCCAACAUUAGCAGGCCCAUACCUCCGGCACAAGUAGUUCCUCCUAAGCCAGACGUUUGGUUGGGUCUUCUUUUAAGAAACCUCCCGAAAAGCACGGAUGGAAAAAGUUUGUUCAAGCAUCAAAUGCAACUUAAACAACAUUUGAUGAAAAAAAACCUUUAACGUGGGGGAAAGGCCAUAAAGAUUGAUCGCGGCUCUUGUUAAGUCUCUACCAUUUGUUGUUGUUCCUUUUAAUUUUACAUUUUUGCUCCAUCGGAUAUUGGAUAGAGGUGGGUGGGAGAAAUUUGCUGAGUUGAAGAUGGAAGCGGUAGCGUUGGUUGUUGGAGAUGAAGGUGGUAGUGGCGGAUUUUGGAGCCAAUUCCAUAGCGUGCUCCGGAUUGGAGGGUUAGGUUGAGUGAGGAAGAUGGAGAAAUAUCUUUCCUUUUUUAUUUUUUUUCUUUAUUUUAAUUGUUUUUGGUGAGAAAAUGUAGAGUAUCAUUUUGUCCUUUCUAGAAAUGGUUAAACGUUUGAUUCUUGAUUAACUAACGAUAAUUUGAAUAGAAAUCGUCCAG
rnacentral:lncRNA from 1 species